GUUGCAUCGAUUGGGUCCCGCGCGGACGGCCCCUGUGAACCCCGUCAGGCCCGGAAGGGAGCAGCGGUAAGCAGAUCGGCUGUGGUGCCGUGGGAGUGCCUGAUCGGUGCAGCCCUAUG
rnacentral:SRP_RNA from 1 species